AUGGCUCGUGAUGUAUUAGCCAUUCCUAUUUCAAGUGUUGCAUCUGAAUGUGCAUUCAGCACGGGAGGUCGCAUUCUUGACUCGUUCAGGAGUUCGUUGACGCCUAAACUGGUGCAAUCUCUUAUUUGUCUUCAAGAUUGGCUUAGAAGUGAACCUAUUCCUAUUAAAGUUGAGGAAGACUUGGAGUAUCUAGAACAACUAGAACUUGAUCUGGCUGAUAGUGCAAAAGAUUCAACUAUUAUUGACAUAUAGUUGCAACAUGUACCAUGUGUGGUUUGAUCAUGGCGCCUAAAUGGAAGUGAUGCUGCAGUAAAUAGACUUCACUUGUUUCAUGCUACUUAAUGUAAUUAUUUCUCUGGUUUUGAGACUUCAGCAACAUGAAAAGUUUCUAACUUUUGGAUUACUCUUUUGGUUAUGUAAUAUGCUUGUACUAAACAAUGGAAGCAAAGUAGCAUAGAUUCUAAGUUUUUUGUUCUCUCGUGGCUGUAAGCAGUGGCAGCAAAGCAGCAUAGCUCUUUUGGUUUUUUGGUUGUGUAAUGUAGUGCUCUUUUGGUUGUAACUACUAACUACUCCCUACUCCCUAGUUUAUAUUUGUUUUGUAUGAUUGUGGGAUCUUGUAUGGACCAAGUAGAG